rnacentral:tRNA from 1 species
GCUGGUGUAGCACAGUGGUAGUGCAGCUGAUUCGUAAUCAGCAGGUCGUGCGUUCAAGUCGCAUCACCAGCUCCA